rnacentral:lncRNA from 10 species
CCUGCCAGGCUUUGAAAACCUGCACAAUACCUUUGAAAUGAACUCCAAAGGAGGCUGCCUCUACAAAGCAAGAGAGGAAUGUACCAUCUCACAACAGUCUUACAGUCUUACAAGGUAGACCAUUGCUUUUGUCAUUCUUAAGGAUUUUGAUCAAUAUAGAAAGCCUUGCUGAUGAUCCGUGACCAUACUCUGAAAACGAAAAAGAAAAGGAAAGCCAGAUGCA